UCCGUAGGCGGGCAAUUAAGUCAGAGGUGAAAUCCCACAGCUCAACUGUGGAACUGCCUUUGAUACUGGUUGUCUUGAGUUACAGUGAAGUAGAUAGAAUAUAUAGUGUAGCGGUGAAAUGCAUAGAUAUUACAUAGAAUACCGAUUGCGAAGGCAGUCUACUAACUGUAUACUGACGCUAAUGGACGAAAGCGUGGGGAGCGAACAGGAUUAGAUACCCUGGUAGUCC
rnacentral:rRNA from 1 species